rnacentral:lncRNA from 1 species
GGAUGUUACAGUCCACCCACCUUACAGGAAUCUCGUCCCCGAGAUUUAGGCGUUGCUCGGUCGGUGAAGAAACGCGGGUGUCGUUCCCAAAGCUUUUCUUACUUCUGAGUUGUUUUGCUAUCAGAAAGAUGGCUCCACAAACCUUUUCCAUGUGGGGGCGAGUCAUGUUCAGGAUGUAUCCAAGGCUCACUCGCUGGUGUUGGGUAUCCAAGAAUCGCACCAGGUUGAUGAACAUCUGGCUCUCUAGGAGUGCAUGGCAGGCUUAAACAUAGCUAGGGUUGUUGGCUUUCAAUAGCUGUUUUUCGUGCAUCACUCUUUGCAAAAAGCUUUUGAAAGGAAUGUUUUUCGGAAAAAAAAAACAGGUUUCAUAAAUGGAGUGAAAGCGAUUUUACAAAGUCAAAUGGAUUUUAAAGAGAGCUCAAACUGAAAAUAGCUUUUGGAAAGGGUUGAAAUCAGCGUAAAUUUUGAAAACCAAGUUUAUUUAUUUUAUUAUAAUUAUUAUUUUAAGAUUUUUGAUGUAAAAGAUUUCAAAUCAAGAGACUUUGAAACUCUUUUAGUUUUCUAAAUGAGGCGUUGCUCUCUUUUAUUUGAACUAAACAAACUAGUUUUGAAAAUGAUUAGAAAUCAUUUCUCUCUUUUGAAAGAUAAAGCUUUAACAACAAUAACAUUUUCUUUCAAAACUUGUAAGUUCAUUUUGUUUUUGCUAAAUUUUUUUUUUUUUUUUGGAAGGCCGCAAACAAAAUUUUUUUUUUUUGCAAUGGUUUUUGUUUAAUAAAUCACUGGCAAUUCCUUUUUCUUUUUAAGAGAAGGUUGAUUUUUAAAAAGGAAUUUGGCUCUCGAGAUAAAAUCAAAGACCUUUAAAACAAAGCCGAGCCAAAUCUUUGGUUUGAAAACCACUUUGUUGUUGAAAAUCAAAACUUUUGUUUUUCUGAAGCGAUUUUGGUCAUACCUUUUGAAAGAUAACUUAAAUCAUUUCAUAAAUAGAGUUUGAAUAAAAUUGAGUUGAGAAAAGGGUUAAAAUGGCUCUCUUUGUGAAAAUGAAAGAUAUUAAGAGAGUUUUGAAACACUUUUCCUUUUGAAACAAGGAUGCUUUUGUUAGAGAGGGGACAUUUUAACCAAAAGGAGAGAAAAUUUUGAAGACAGGUUCAUUUUGGAAGCCAAAAACAGUUUUGAAAUAGGCGAGCAUCACAUGAUGCAACAGCUUUACCUAACUUUUAACUUUGUUAGUCAGGGCCACCUAUCUAGUCUCGGGACGGUCUUAGGUUUAGCCGACUAGGUUGGACGGAAUCCAGAGUUUUUCUCGCAUAAAACAGGUUCUAUGACUUACACCCAGACAACAAGAAGCAGAAGAAACGCAACAACAUAAGAUCCAAGCACUCAAACAGCAUUACAACUCCUAAUGCAUAGUGUUGACUUGAGGCGACUCACAGACCUUCAAAGUCUCACACAACUAUCGAUCUAGCGUGGGCGGGUAUGGGAAAAGAUUCCAACGGUCAACUUUAUGAAACAGGGAGGUCAGUUAGCAGCAGAAUUCAAGGCGGAGGGGGGAAAAACAAGUGUUAGCAUCUAUAACUCUACAAAAGAUAGAAUGUUUGGCUUCUAAACUAGUGUUUGGUCCUAAAGGUCUCGUCCUAGGGUCAAGUAUGGCUCUGAUACCAACUGAAACGACCUAGAUUCUUCCACAAAGGGAAAAAUCCACAGAUUCGAAUUAUAAUGUGAUAAUUCAAAAAUUGAACCAUCGCAUUAUCAUAUAUCAGCUGUUAUCGUAGUCAUACAUCGUGAGAAACAAGAUUACAACACAUUUACUUUACAACUCUUGGUCAACAAGCCUAUUACAUCGUUUUUCUAGCGAGAACACACGCGAGUCUUUAUCAGAGUCGAUGUAGCGCGUCAGCGGUGAAGGCUCCUCCUUCACGGACAAUCAUCAGAGUCGACGUAGUUUAUCAGCGGGCGUAGCCUUCAUCUCUGAACCAAACUUGAGCGCAGGAGCGAGACCACCUAAUCCUUCUAUUCUCCGUAGUUAUCAUCAUAGACCACAUCCAAAACCUGCUAAACAAUUUUCAGUACGAUUUGUACUGGCCACUGGCUCCCACCCUAUGCUUUUGCGUAAGCUUUGUGGUAAGUGGAAUGCAAAGGGUAGAUCAAGAGGCCUAUAUAUAUGGCUGUAGUCUUUCCUAUGCAAGUUCAUCAAUAUUUAAUAAUAAUAAUUCAUCAAGUUUUAUUCCAUCUCAUCCACACAUCCAUCCAUCCAUCCCAUCACACGCAUCUCACCACACUCUCACUCUCUAGGCGGCAAGUACGACUCCCGCUCGUGCCUUGCCUCAACGGCCAACGCCGGAUCCAACACAAACCCAGGGGAAGGUAGAAAGGACUCCUCUCACUAGUCAAGCGAAGCGGAACAUAGGAAAGGUCCAUAGCCGAGAAGACGGCAUAUGUAUCGAUCGAUCAACCAUAACUCUGCAGAGGUUUACACUAACCACAAGAUCACCAUCAUCGACGAACCGGCUCGUCUAGGCUGAUACCGGGCUGCCUUCCAACUAAAUACGAUGCCACCCUACCACUCAGGACUGGGGCCAUACCGGAGUACCACCGGCAUGCUG